UAAGGAAUAUUGGUCAAUGGACGCAAGUCUGAACCAGCCAUGCCGCGUGAAGGAUGAAGGUCCUCUGGAUUGUAAACUUCUUUUAUCUGGGACGAAAACGGGAUUUUUAUCUCAAUUGACGGUACCAGAGGAAUAAGCACCGGCUAACUCCGUGCCAGCAGCCGCGGUAAUACGUAGGGUGCGAGCGUUAAUCGGAAUUACUGGGCGUAAAGCGUGCGCAGGCGGUUUUGUAAGACAGAUGUGAAAUCCCCGGGCUUAACCUGGGAACUGCGUUUGUGACUGCAAGGCUGGAGUACGGCAGAGGGGGGUGGAAUUCCACGUGUAGCAGUGAAAUGCGUAGAGAUGUGGAGGAACACCGAUGGCGAAGGCAGCCCCCUGGGCCUGUACUGACGCUCAUGCACGAAAGCGUGGGGAGCAAACA
rnacentral:rRNA from 1 species